rnacentral:rRNA from 1 species
CCUACGGGUGGCAGCAGUGGGGAAUAUUGGGCAAUGGGCGGAAGGCUGAACCAGCCAUGCCGCGUGAAGGUCAGUGCCCUAUGGGCGUUAAACUUCUUUUGUGCGGGAGCAAUAAUGGUCACGUGUGGCCAGACGAGAGUACCGUACGAAUAAGCAUCGGCUAACUCCGUGCCAGCAGCCGCGGUAAUACGGGGGAUGCAAGCGUUAUCCGGAUUUAUUGGGUUUAAAGGGUGCGUAGGCUGGGAGGUAAGUCAGCGGUGAAAUGCCCCCGCGCAACGGGGUGAAGGGCCAUUGAUACUGCCUGGCUGGAAUGCGGAUGCCGUGGGAGGAAUGUGUGGUGUAGCGGUGAAAUGCAUAGAUAUCACACAGAACACCGAUUGCGAAGGCAUCUCACGAAUCCGCGAUUGACGCUGAUGCACGAAAGCGUGGGUAUCAAACAGGAUUAGAUACCCCUGUAGUC